GAAUAUUCACAGCUAGUAUAACCUCAUUAAUAUGGUCUGAGGGUCUCUACCAGGAACCGUAAAAAUCCUGACUACUGAAAAUG
rnacentral:ncRNA from 1 species